GCUGGGUGCAGUGGCGCAUGCCUGUAAUCCCAGUGGCUUUGGAAGCUGAGGCAGGAGGAUUGUGAGUUCAAAGCCAGCUAUUACUCUAAGCAACUCAGUGAAACCCUGACUCUA
rnacentral:sRNA from 1 species